AUUGAACGCUGGCGGCAGGCCUAACACAUGCAAGUCGAACGAGUGGCGGACGGGUGAGUAAUGUCUGGGAAACUGCCUGAUGGAGGGGGAUAACUACUGGAAACGGUAGCUAAUACCGCAUACCAUCAGAUGUGCCCAGAUGGGAGUAGCUAGUUGGUGGGGUAACGGCUCACCCAGGCGACGAUCCCUAGCUGGUCUGAGAGGAUGACCAGCCACACUGGAACUGAGACACGGUCCAGACUCCAACGGGAGGCAGAAGUGGGGAAUAUUGCACAAUGGGCGCAAGCCUGAUGCAGCCAUGCCGCGUGUAUGAAGAAGGCCUUCGGGUUGUAAAGUACUUUCAGCGGGGAGGCGUUACCCGCAGAAGAAGCACCGGCUAACUCCGGGCCAGCAGCCGCGGUAAUAC
rnacentral:rRNA from 1 species